rnacentral:misc_RNA from 1 species
GGAAGUCGUAACAAGGUUUCCGUAGGUGAACCUGCGGAAGGAUCAUUAUUGUAUAACCGAGGUGCGAGGGCUGUCGCUGACCCGAAAGGUCGUGCACGCCCGAGUGCCCUCACACACAUCCAUCUCACCCCUAUGUGCACCACCGCGUGGGUCCCCCUUUGGCUUGUUCGGAGGGGGGCUUACGUUUUCACACAAACUUUGUAUGCAGUGUAGAAUGUAUUUUUUGUUUUUGCGAUCACGCAAUCAAUACAACUUUCAACAACGGAUCUCUUGGCUCUC